AUUGUAACAUUAUUUGUAUUACGACUAUGAUUUACGCAUGUCGUUGUAUUUGGUUCUUGUCUGGUGGAGUCCAGUGUCUGAUGUCAUAUAUGGUCUAGGUGUACGCGCGAGUAUGGUGUGAUGUGUGACGUUUAUGGUAUGUGGUGCAUGCAGGAGUACGCGUUGUCAGAGUGUGAGGAUGUGCUUCCGUCUGUGUGAGAGUGACUGUCAAGUGAAUGCAGUACAUGCGCAGUGCUAGUUUGGUCUGGGAAUGAGAGUCGUGUGUGAUUCGUCCGUGGUCUGGUUGUCUUGGUCUUGGUCAUGUGUUCUGUACGUAUUAGUCCCUGAUUGGUCGUCACGAUUUGUCCUCGGUUUAUUACUGCUUGUUCUUUGUUGAUCCUCGGAGUCUUUUCCCGGGAGUCUUUCCCGUCGUCGUUUUCUGUCUAGUCUUUUCGUCUCUCUCCUCCUGCGCCCUCGUCAUUUCUUGGUAUAAUAUAAGAGUAUUGAAGAUACAAUCAAGAGUUUGCGUUGUUGUGUGGCGAGGGCCAGGGGGAGAAGCAUUUCCGUUACAGUGGCGCCCAACGUGGAGACUGGCUCGAACCUGAUUCUACUUCUCCACAAGUAGUUUAUGCUCGCCGUGGUCCUUUCGUUUCUCCUUUCAGUUUUGUCGACGUGUGGCGACUUUAUUAUUUUUAUUUCGGCAAGCGGAACUGGUCGUUCAUCAGGCUGGUUCAACCUCGCGCUGCACUACAAGCAAGCCUCUUUCCCGCCGUACAAGCUUGCCAUACGGUCGUUCGUCAGGCUCACAACUACCCGACAACCAAGGGACCUACUGUUUCUUUUCUCUGAUGUUUGUCAUUUGUUCUGCCUGUUCUUUAUUUUCCCUGAGUCGAGAGUCGAGGUCGACUCUCCGCAAAGGAGAGGGCUAUGUAACAUUAUUUGUAUUACGACUAUGAUUUACGCAUGUCGUUGUAUUUGGUUCUUGUCUGGUGGAGUCCAGUGUCUGAUGUCAUAUAUGGUCUAGGUGUACGCGCGAGUAUGGUGUGAUGUGUGACGUUUAUGGUAUGUGGUGCAUGCAGGAGUACGCGUUGUCAGAGUGUGAGGAUGUGCUUCCGUCUGUGUGAGAGUGACUGUCAAGUGAAUGCAGUACAUGCGCAGUGCUAGUUUGGUCUGGGAAUGAGAGUCGUGUGUGAUUCGUCCGUGGUCUGGUUGUCUUGGUCUUGGUCAUGUGUUCUGUACGUAUUAGUCCCUGAUUGGUCGUCACGAUUUGUCCUCGGUUUAUUACUGCUUGUUCUUUGUUGAUCCUCGGAGUCUUUUCCCGGGAGUCUUUCCCGUCGUCGUUUUCUGUCUAGUCUUUUCGUCUCUCUCCUCCUGCGCCCUCGUCAUUUCUUGGUAUAAUAUAAGAGUAUUGAAGAUACAA